rnacentral:rRNA from 1 species
GUCCACGCCCUAAACGAUGACGACUGGAUGUCGGAGGGUCUGCCUUUCGGUGUCGUAGCUAACGCGUUAAGUCGUCCGCCUGGGGAGUACGGCCGCAAGGUUGAAACUCAAAGGAAUUGACGGGACCCGCACAAGCGGUGGAUGAUGUGGUUUAAUUCGAUGCAACGCGAAAAACCUUACCUACCCUUGACAUGUCUGGAAUCCUGAAGAGAUUUGGGAGUGCUCGAAAAGAGAACCAGAACACAGGUGCUGCAUGGCCGUCGU